rnacentral:lncRNA from 12 species
UCUCACCACCCGCCACCACAUGCAAUCCUCAUCAGACCACCUGCUUUUGAAAAAGAAUAUUCCUUCUCGAUGACCACAUCUACGGUGUGAAUUCCAUUUAAUAUAAGAGCAUUAAUUAUUGAUAUUUAUGGCAUUAGGCUUGCCUCUUUAUGUGAAGAGCUCAAAAGCACUCCAUUGGUGUCUCUUGUCCUGUGCCUCAGCAGACGGCCGUCUGCAGCUAGACGACCCUGUUCUACCUUCCGUAGAAGGAACCACUGAGCUUGGACUUGCUGGAAAACAUGUGGGCAGUUUUCCUUGA